rnacentral:rRNA from 1 species
AAGUUGUGUAGUGCGAUCGGUGGAUGCCUUGGCACCAAGAGCCGAUGAAGGACGUUGUGACCUGCGAUAAGCCCUGGGGAGUUGGUGAGCGAGCUGUGAUCCGGGGGUGUCCGAAUGGGGAAACCUGGAAUGUCCGGAGUAGUGUCCGGUGGCCCUGCCCUGAAUGUAUAGGGGUGUGGGUGGUAACGCGGGGAAGUGAAACAUCUUAGUACCCGUAGGAAGAGAAAACAAGUGUGAUUCCGUGAGUAGUGGCGAGCGAAAGCGGAGGAGGCUAAACCGUGUGUGUGUUCAAGCCGGCAGGUGUUGCAUGUGCGGGGUUGUGGGGGCCUUGUGGUUCUGCUGCCGCAGGAUUGGCCAGUGAGAAAUGUUGCGUGAAGGUGAAGCGUCUGGGAAGGCGUACCGGAGUGGGUGAGAGUCCUGUAACUGUAAGCGUGGCACUGGUGUGGGGUUGCCCCGAGUAGCGUGGGACUCGUGGAAUUUCGCGUGAAUCUGGCGGGACCACCCGUCAAGCCUAAAUACUCCUUGGUGACCGAUAGUGGAUGAGUACCGUGAGGGAAGGGUGAAAAGUACCCCGGGAGGGGAGUGAAAGAGUUCCUGAAACCGGUCGCAUGCAAGCCGUCAGAGCCUGUGUGGUGAUGGCGUGCCUUUUGAAGAAUGAGCCUGCGAGUUAGUGAUGCGUGGCGAGGUUAACCCGUGGUGGGGGAGUCGUAGCGAAAGCGAGUCCGAUAAGGGCGUGAGUCGCGUGUUCUAGACCCGAAGCGGUGUGAUCUAUCCAUGGCCAGGAUGAAGCGUCGGUAAGACGUCGUGGAGGUCCGAACCCACUUCAGUUAAAAAUGGAGGGGAUGAGUUGUGGAUAGGGGUGAAAGGCCAAUCAAACUCCGUGAUAGCUGGUUCUCCCCGAAAUGCAUUUAGGUGCAGCGUC